rnacentral:tRNA from 1 species
GGCCUGGUGGCUCAGUUGGUUAGAGCGCCGCCCUGUCACGGCGGAGGUCGUGGGUUCGAACCCCAUCCGGGUCG